CGUAACGCGAGAGCUUGAGAGAACACCGGGUGACAGAAGAAGGGCGAGGAACGACGGUGAUGGAUUCGAUGACGGUGGCCAUGGAGAGCGGCUGGUGUUUUGAUGGAUAUUAUUGUGUGUGGACGAGGAUGAGGUUGUUGCUACGUUGGGGACUUAUGACAUUGCAUUAAAUUUGGGAAGGAAGGUGAUAUGUCCAAGGUAUUGUAUGAUGCAUCUAAUUUUAGCAUGUAUUAUUAUUCGAUACUGGUUUUGCAUUAGAGUGACCAAAUUAGAUUCCUUAUAAUUUUUUUUCAUGUGACUUGCCAAACAAAUGGCCACGUCUGCUGUCAAGGAAUGGGCCGCUUCCCAGGAUAGUAAGCUUUUAGAGGCUGUUGCUGUAAAUAACUUGGGGAAGUGGAAAACAGCCACGCAGAUGACUGCGUUAGCCAUCCUCCUCGCCACCCGGGACUCGAGGUAUAAGUUUACUUUGUAUUUUGAUUCAAACAUAAUAAAGCAGAGCAACAAUAAGAUGCACAAUUCAAUUUAAUUUAGAUUCAAACACAAUAAAGCAGAGCAACAAUAAUUCGAGUGAAUUUUACAGGGAAGGGUUCAAAAUAACUCAAUGCGAAAUUAGAAUUUCAUCACAAUGAAGAUGAAACUCUCAAUUAGCAGAGGUUGCCCUUAGUGAGGUUAUGCAUUUAUCUUCUAACAUCAGCAUGGCUCUGUCUAUCAGAUGAAAUACCGAAACAGACGCCAACUUUAUGCCGAAACAGAUGCCAACUUUAUGCACUUAUGUUCAUUACUAUCUGGUAAAUCAAUAGUUUUGAAUAGUUUAAUUGGACAUCCAAUUUUGGUUUUGAAAAGAGAAAUUGAUAUCAACAAGCUUCAGUGGUAUGUUUAUUGCAUGUUCAACACACUCAUGCGCUGCACAAAGACGUAAUUUUAUAGUGGACGACGAGCCUGGUAUCUAUGGGAAGGGAGAUUCUCUCAAGUAUAUUGUAUCACGAUUAACAUGAAUGACUGGAUAGCAUUCUGAUAGUUUUUAUAAUGUCUUGAUGUUAUUAGCCUUUUGUUGUUGACUUAUAGACCAAAAAAGUAUAAAGGCAUGAAACAUUCAUCUUCAAUUUCAAAAGAAACGUGAAACGUGAAACUGGUAAGUCAGGUGAUGAUCCUAAAAAUAUGGACGUAGCUGAUAGGGUAACUCUGUUCCUGAUUCAGACUUACCUGAGAGGAUACAAGUUACUUCUGGUCUCACAUUUAUGGCUUUAUAUGUUAUGGUAGAUGUUUACGGUCACAGACGUUUGACAGGUGCGUUGGAACUAUGAAUAUCGACAAGUUUCGACAAGUUUCGACAAGUUGAAGCUGAUUGUGAAACUAUUGUGUCCAAGUGAUGAUUGAUGUGGAAAGAAAGAACUCCUCGAGAAAGUAUCACUAGGUCUUAUAAUAAGGAUGGCCCUCGGAAUGUGAUACCUGUCAAAACAAAACAUGGAAAAGGAAGCAUGUUCACAUUCUCUCAUGAAUUUAGCAAUCUCACUUGUAGGCUCUUUAUAAUUCACCACCUAUAUAUUAUUGAUGUAAUAAUUUAACUAUUAUAUAUUAUUAAUGUAAAUAAAAUAAAUUUGUUUUUUAUAAAUUAAUGAUGACAGAGUCAGAGAGGUAAUGUUUUUGAAAGUACAUUCUGCUUUUUAAGGUAUAUUCUAAAGUUGUUAUAUCAUUGAGUUAGAAUGUUAUAUCAUUGAGUAGGACUUAUCCUGCUUUUGAAGGUACAUUAUGAAGUUGCUAUAUCAGAAAGUUCUUCAAUCUGUAUACAUUGUCACUGAUUGGCUUUUUGCAUAAAUUGUCUUUAAGGGACUAGCUUAUCUUUAUGAAGUAGAUAAACGUGUAAUAUGGGUCUGUUUGGUAAAAAU